rnacentral:lncRNA from 1 species
GCAUUAGAAGCCUUAACCAGCAAUGGAUUCAGUCAUUUAGUGCCAGCAAGGACAGUUACCAACUUGAACACUAAGAAACAAGACACACAUUUCUGGGCAAGUGAUGAGGUGGAAAGAAUAUUUACAGGACAUUGGGGUAUUGUUCAUGAGGGUUUAUCUCACCCUGCUAUACCAGCUGGAUGGAUGUUGAAUGGGCUUGUGAGUUUGCAUUGUCCUUUGUGGGUUGAGAUCUAUGUUCAGAAGAAUGUAAGAGAGAAUUACGAACAGCUUCCAAAUGGUCAACUGAAGGUAUUAUCAACUGAUAAUCAGGGAAAAACUGUUCAGCAUUUAACAAUGAAAGAUGGAAGAAGAAAGAAAAAUUCACCUGGAAGAUCAAAAAGCUUUAGGGGUUAUUUUCAAAGAUCCAAACAUCAAAAUAACAAAGACCUUUUAUCACGAUCUAAAAGUAUCAAUGCAAAGUUAUCAUAACUAUACAAAAAAGCUGGACGUAUUAAAAUGCCUAAUGUGUUGAAGAUAUUAAUGUAUCAAGUGGCCAUCAAAGAGAUGAAAGGUGUUUUUACUGAGGGAAGUGUUUUAGAGAUUUGUUAUAAUAAUGUUACUUCAUUCAUUCAUUCAUCUAAUAACAUUGUGUCUGUCUUGCUCUGUAUUUUUCAAACAUUUUUGAUUUUCAAUUACUGUUAAUCAUGUAGUUCAAAUAGGGUUUUUAGAAAUCACAUUAUUGUAACAUGUUCUUUCAUAAGGUAGGUUCUUUUAGGUUACUUGGUAAAAUUAAUUCCAAGUCCAAUUCACAUAAUAAUAAAGAAUUAGUUUGUUGCAUCUUUAAUUUUAGCUACAGAUUACUUAAAGUUGUAGGCUUAAUUCACAAGCAACCUUUGAACAGAAAUUCUUAGGCUAAUUGUAUGCCUAACUCACAAAUAAGCUCACUUGUUAAAUUUUCUAUCUCAUUAAUCGAUCAAAAACAGACACUUAACUCACUAUGUAGCUUAGUAACUGAACUAAAGAGCUGAAUAACUUACUGAGUGGCACUGAUUAUUUUUAUUGACUUACUAAAUACUUCACCAAUUCUUGUGCCCGGCAUGGCCAGGUGGUUAGGGUGCUCGACUCACAAUCUGCAGGUUCAAAUCCCCGUCACACCAAAACAUGCUCACCCGGUGUCCAGACUAGGAUGCCAGUCCUACUCCAGGAGACACACCUCCAAAAGAAUUUGGAGGUGUAAGAAACACCAUACACAACUACUACCAAUUCUUGUAUUUGUCAUACCCUCUUUUCUACACACUGCACGAAAUUCUAAAGAUACCUUAACUUUCAUGAACUUUGUAAAUAUUGCAUUAUGCACCCUCCAACAAACUAACAUCUAAAUUAAAAUAUAACUCGCAACAAUAUGUAAUGUACUGUUUGACUUGAGAUAGCUUCAGUGUGGUAGUUACAAUGCUAUUAACAAGUUUAUGGCUUAAUUGACUGUACUUAUCAGCAACCUCUUUUUACUUAUUACUAGACUUUAUUUUAUACCUGUAGAAAAAUUGUAGUUCUUCUUGUCCUAGAUAUGUCUCU